GAUGAAGAACGUAGCGAAAUGCGAUACUUGGUGUGAAUUGCAGAAUCCCGUGAACCAUCGAGUCUUUGAACGCAAGUUGCGCCCGAAGCCAUUAGGCCGAGGGCACGCCUGCCUGGGCGUCACACGUCGUUGCCCCCCCAUCUACUCCUUCGGGAUUGCGGGGGGCGGAUGAUGGCCUCCCGUGCGCCUCGUCGCGCGGUUGGCAUAAAUGCCAAGUCCUCGGCGACGCACGCCACGACAAUCGGUGGUUGCGAAACCUCGGUUGCCCGUCGUGUGCGGUCGUCGCGCAUCGAGGGCUCGAAAAAAUUGUCGGGCUCCGGCUCGGCUUUCAACGCGACCCCAGGUCAGGCGGGGUUACCCGCUGAAUUUAAGCAUAUCUAAGCGGAGGA
rnacentral:misc_RNA from 1 species